GGGUGGUCCAAGUGCAGUGGUGUUUACAGCUAACUGAUCGCAGCCACUUAAUAGAUUUCAGUUCCUUCUCCACUCCUCCUGCUUUGCUUGACUAGCCUUAA
rnacentral:Y_RNA from 1 species